AAAUUGAAGAGUUUGAUCAUGGCUCAGAUUGAACGCUGGCGGCAGGCCUAACACAUGCAAGUCGAACGGUAACAGGAAGCAGCUUGCUGCUUUGCUGACGAGUGGCGGACGGGUGAGUAAUGUCUGGGAAACUGCCUGAUGGAGGGGGAUAACUACUGGAAACGGUAGCUAAUACCGCAUAACGUCGCAAGACCAAAGAGGGGGACCUUCGGGCCUCUUGCCAUCGGAUGUGCCCAGAUGGGAUUAGCUAGUAGGUGGGGUAAMGGCUCACCUAGGCGACGAUCCCUAGCUGGUCUGAGAGGAUGACCAGCCACACUGGAACUGAGACACGGUCCAGACUCCUACGGGAGGCAGCAGUGGGGAAUAUUGCACAAUGGGCGCAAGCCUGAUGCAGCCAUGCCGCGUGUAUGAAGAAGGCCUUCGGGUUGUAAAGUACUUUCAGCGGGGAGGAAGGGAGUAAAGUUAAUACCUUUGCUCAUUGACGUUACCCGCAGAAGAAGCACCGGCUAACUCCGUGCCAGCAGCCGCGGUAAUACGGAGGGUGCAAGCGUUAAUCGGAAUUACUGGGCGUAAAGCGCACGCAGGCGGUUUGUUAAGUCAGAUGUGAAAUCCCCGGGCUCAACCUGGGAACUGCAUCUGAUACUGGCAAGCUUGAGUCUCGUAGAGGGGGGUAGAAUUCCAGGUGUAGCGGUGAAAUGCGUAGAGAUCUGGAGGAAUACCGGUGGCGAAGGCGGCCCCCUGGACGAAGACUGACGCUCAGGUGCGAAAGCGUGGGGAGCAAACAGGAUUAGAUACCCUGGUAGUCCACGCCGUAAACGAUGUCGACUUGGAGGUUGUGCCCUUGAGGCGUGGCUUCCGGAGCUAACGCGUUAAGUCGACCGCCUGGGGAGUACGGCCGCAAGGUUAAAACUCAAAUGAAUUGACGGGGGCCCGCACAAGCGGUGGAGCAUGUGGUUUAAUUCGAUGCAACGCGAAGAACCUUACCUGGUCUUGACAUCCACGGAAGUUUUCAGAGAUGAGAAUGUGCCUUCGGGAACCGUGAGACAGGUGCUGCAUGGCUGUCGUCAGCUCGUGUUGUGAAAUGUUGGGUUAAGUCCCGCAACGAGCGCAACCCUUAUCCUUUGUUGCCAGCGGUCCGGCCGGGAACUCAAAGGAGACUGCCAGUGAUAAACUGGAGGAAGGUGGGGAUGACGUCAAGUCAUCAUGGCCCUUACGACCAGGGCUACACACGUGCUACAAUGGCGCAUACAAAGAGAAGCGACCUCGCGAGAGCAAGCGGACCUCAUAAAGUGCGUCGUAGUCCGGAUUGGAGUCUGCAACUCGACUCCAUGAAGUCGGAAUCGCUAGUAAUCGUGGAUCAGAAUGCCACGGUGAAUACGUUCCCGGGCCUUGUACACACCGCCCGUCACACCAUGGGAGUGGGUUGCAAAAGAAGUAGGUAGCUUAACCUUCGGGAGGGCGCUUACCACUUUGUGAUUCAUGACUGGGGUGAAGUCGUAACAAGGUAACCGUAGGGGAACCUGCGGUUGGAUCACCUCCUUACCUUAAAGAAGC
rnacentral:rRNA from 1 species